rnacentral:lncRNA from 1 species
AAAGACUAAGAAUUGACACAUUUCUCUCAGGGAAUCUGUACCUCAAUUCUUGGACAGUAUUAGUAAUCUUUUUCUAGCUUUAUGUAGGUAUGAUUGACAAGUAAAAAUUGUAUAUAUUCAGGGUAUGCAAUGUGAUGUUUUGAUAUACGUGUAUAUUGUGAAAUGAUUACUACAAUCUAAUUAACAUAUCCAUUACCUCACAUAGUUACUGUGUGUGUGUGUGUGUGUUGAGAACACUUGAGAUCUACUCUACUAGCAAUACAGUAUAAUGAACUAUUAAUCACCAUACUGUACUCCAGAACUGAUUCAUCUUAUAACUGCAGGAUGUUGUCCUUUGACCAACAUCUUCCUUUUCUCCCUAUCCCCCAGCCGCUGGUACCACUAUUCUACUCUCCGUUCCUACGAGUUUGACGUCUUCUAAAAGAUCCUACAUGUAAGAGAGAUCAGGCAGUACUUGUCUUGUUUCACUUAGUAGAGUGUCUUCCAGGUUCAUCCAUGUUGCAAAUGGCAAAGAUCUCUGACCUUUUGAAGGCUGAGUGAUAUUCCAAUGCAUGUAUUUAGACACACACACACACAAUUUAUACACACAGACACCCAUUUUCUUUAUCCAUUCAUCUGUCAACCGACUUAGGUUCUUAGGUUGUUUCCAACCUAGGAACCAAUAGGGAAUAGCCAGUAUCUUGGCUAGUGUGAAUAAUGCUGUAAGGAACCUGGAGGUAUACUUAUCUCUUUGAGAUAUUGAUUUUAUUUCCUUUGGAUACAUACCCUGAAGUAGGAUUGCUGGAUCAUAUGCCACAUUUCUUACCAUAUGAAACCAUACGUUGGUCAAAGGACAAUAUCCCACAGUUAUCAGAUGAAUCAGUUCUGGAGACCUAAUGUAGAGUAUGGUGAUUAAUAGUUAAUUAUACUGUAUUGCUAAUAGAGUAGAAGUCUCUGGGCUGAUUUCAUGGGAAUAUUGAGAGUGUGGCAUAUUCCUCCCAUUUCAGUAAUCUCUAAGGUUUUGAAGUGCAUUUCAAAGCUCUAUCUUCAUCUCCUCUCUCCUAAAUUUCAGAGGCGAUUCUCCCUGGAAGGCAGGAAUCCCACCAUGGAGAAUCCACAUACGUCAGUGUGAAGAGAAAAGUAUACACCUAGCCAGCUGUGGUGGCUCACGCCUGUGAUCCCAGAACUUCGGGAAGUUGAGGCAGGAGGAUUGCUUGAGCCCAGGAGUUCGAGACCAGCCUGGGUAACAUAACAAAAUUCUGUAUCUACAAACAAUUACAACAUAACAAGAUUCUGUGUCUACAAACAAUUAAAAAGUUAGCUCGUCGUGGUGACGCAUGCCUGUAGUCCCAGCUUCUAGGGAGGCUGAGGCAGGAGGCUGGCUUGAACCCAGGAGUUCAAAGAUGUAGUAAGCUAGGAUUGUGCCACUGCACUUCUGCUUGGAUGACAGAUUGAGUCCUUGUCUCUAAAAAUACAAUUUGUUAAUAAAAAAAUAAAAAUAAUAAAAAUAAAUAAAUUUUAAAAAGUGUGGGUUGCAAGUAAGAGAAUAAGCAAUGUAAACCCACUUUAUUGUUGAAACAGGGACACACCUAUUGUCAUUUUACUCAGCAGAAAUGUAACCUCUUAAAUAUAAAACUUGGUGUUUAUGUUGCAAGUUUAUGAAUUCCAUUUUGGAGAACUGAGGCAAGUCUUAGAAUAUGACCACGGCAGGAAAUAGGGAUGGUUUAUAAUUAUUUUCACUUACGGUUAAAAAACACAGACAGAAUCAACUUAAGUGAACUUAGUGUCUUUUAAUCUUUACCCCAUCCCAAAGCCAAAGUCUUUAUUUUGAAUACUUAUAAAAACAUCAGUAAGAUUUCCCAUAUUUGGAAGCAACCUUGUAUCCUAUCUCCUAGUCAUAGCUGUUGAGAAUAAGCUUGAAAUAAUUUUGGCAGUUUCAAAUUCAAAUCAUAACAUAAAACUUUUUUCAUGUCUUAACACACAUUUCCUAGCUCCAAUAGCAUUUGACUUUUGUGUUAAUUUCAGGUUCCUCCAAACUCUAUGUUCAAUGUACCUUCUGUCAUGUAUGUAGCUCACUUAUUUACCAGGACAAGCUAUUGUCCAAACUCACAGGUAACCUUGGAUCUGGGCACUUGGUUAAGAUCUAAUAUCAUUAAUUAGGUAGGAGUGAAUAUUUUAUUUGUAUCUGGGCCUUCCUGAGACUUCUGAAACCACACUGUAUAUGUAGCUAACAUUUUUUAGCAACGGGAAGAAAAUGAUAAUGACAACGUUCACAUCAACAGCAAACAAAAAUCAAACAGUAAGACACAGCAUUAAAGUAGCGUGCUUUUUAGCAAUUAUUAUGUGCCAGGCACUCUGUUAAGAAUUUUCAGCCAAUUGUGUCAUUUGAGAAAACUCUUGGAGAAAUACAAUUUGAUGAGUAUAACUGGCUAAAUUAUAAUGUUCUAACAGUAGGAGGUGUAUCUGUUUUGUAGCCUGUCAUAUCUCUAGGGUCUGACACAGACCGGUGCUCAAUUAAUAUGUAUUUACUCAUAGAAUGACCACCAUCACCUCUGCUUUAUAGAUGUGGAGAUGGAGGAUCUGAGAGGUGACAGAGGCAUAUGAUUUGUAAAUGCUGAAGCCAGGAUA